rnacentral:rRNA from 1 species
AUUGAACGCUGGCGGCAUGCCUUACACAUGCGAGUCGAACGGUAACAGGUCUUUCGGGAUGCUGACGAGUGGCGAACGGGUGAGUAAUACAUCGGAACGUGCCUAGUAGUGGGGGAUAACUACUCGAAAGAGUGGCUAAUACCGCAUGAGAUCUAUGGAUGAAAGCAGGGGACCUUUGGGCCUUGUGCUACUAGAGCGGCCGAUGGCAGAUUAGGUAGUUGGUGGGAUAAAAGCUUACCAAGCCUACGAUCUGUAGCUGGUCUGAGAGGACGAUCAGCCACACUGGGACUGAGACACGGCCCAGACUCCUACGGGAGGCAGCAGUGGGGAAUUUUGGACAAUGGGCGCAAGCCUGAUCCAGCAAUGCCGCGUGCAGGAUGAAGGCCUUCGGGUUGUAAACUGCUUUUGUACGGAACGAAAAGUCUUGGGUUAAUACCCUGGGAUCAUGACGGUACCGUAAGAAUAAGCACCGGCUAACUACGUG